rnacentral:rRNA from 1 species
UGACAAGAGACUGGACAAGUCGGUUAUUACGGGAUUCACUGGGCGGUAAAGGGUUGCGCAGGCGGUUGGGUGUGUCACGAUGUGAAAAUCCCCGAGGCUUAACCUCGGAAACUGCGGUCUGGAAAUUACUCGACUAGAGUACUGGAGAGGGAAACGGAAAUUCACGGUGUAGCAGUGAAAUGCGUAGAGUAUCGUGAGGAACACCAGAGGCGAAGGCGGUUUCCUGGACAGUUACUGACGCUCAGGCACGAAAGCAUGGGGAGCAAAAGGG